rnacentral:lncRNA from 1 species
GUCCCUGAAAGUAUUAUAAACAGAAUGCAAUUUCUUUCUUUCUUCUCUCUCUCUCUCUCUUUCUUUCUUUCUUUCUUGUGCGAUGGAGUCUUGCUCUGUCGCCCAGGCUGCUGGAGUGCAGUGGCGUGAUCUUGGCUCACUGCAACCUCCACCUCCCGGGUCCAAGUGAUUCUCCUCCCUCAGCCUCCCAAGUAGCUGGGACUAUAGGCAUGUACCACCAUGCCCAGCUAAUUUUUAUGUUUUUAGUAGAGACUGGGUUUCACCAUAUUGGUCAGGCCGGUCUUGAAACUCCUGACCUUGUGAUCCGCCCGACUUGGCUUCCCAAAGUGCUGGGAUUACAGGCCUGAGCCACCGCACCCGGUUAGGAUGCGAUUUCUUUAUGCUUUCCUUCCUGCCUAGGGAAGACCCCUCUUCCUCCCUCCCUGGCAUUCCAUGGUGUUUCCUGCUUACCUGGUAGUCAGGGCUUGGCAUCCUAUUCCUAACAUGAAUCAUCCUGGCAGUGACUUCUUCUCUCAUCUUUUUUCUCUCUUUUCUUCUUCAUGGAACCCAUUCUUAACUGAUCUGGAACUGGAACUCUGGCUCCUUCCACUUGCUCAUGACCAUUCUCAGUGAGCCAGAAUCACUUCCAGCAUUCUAGUGUGUCUGUAUUUCAGCCAGCAAGAAGGAGGAAGAGAUAAAGAAGGCAAACCUUCCAUUUAAGAACACUUCUUAUAAAUCUCACAUAAUGCUCUCACUUAUUUCUUACACAUCAGAAUUUCAUCAAAAGGCCUCAACAAACUGCAGAGCAGACUUUAUUUCAGUUAAUUAUUUGCCCAGUUAAGAAAUGUUGGCUGCAUUGACAAGAAAGAAGAGAGUCAAUAUAUAGGGGAAUAGGGAUUAGCUGCUGUCACAGGUUUCUGGGGUUUUUUGUUUAUUUAUUUUUGAGACAGAGUCUCACUCUAUUGCCCCGGCUGGAGUGCAGUGGUAUGAUCUCGACUCACUGCAACCUCUGCCGCUUGGGUUCAAGCGAUUCUCCUGCCUCAGCCUUCUGAGUAGCUGGGACUACAGGUGCCCGCCACCAUGCCCGGCAUUUUUUGUAUUUUUAGUAGAGGUGAGUUGGCCAGGCUGGUCUCGAACUCCUGACCUCAGGUAAUCCAUCUGCCUCAGCCUCACAAAGUGCUGGGAUUGCAGGGUUUCUGGUUUUAGAUCUUUUCAAUUUCUUGCUCUAAUCCUCACCCCUUAAAAAUAUCCAAAGUGUGUCUAGAAUUGAAAUCAACCUAAAUAUAUUAUAGAAGGUAGAACAAUCCAGGCUGCUCUGCAUUUCCUCCUGGUCUCCCUGCAGUAUCC